rnacentral:rRNA from 1 species
UUGAGAGUUUGAUCCUGGCUCAGAACGAACGCUGGCGGCAGGCCUAACACAUGCAAGUCGAGCGCUACCUUCGGGUGGAGCGGCGGACGGGUUAGUAACGCGUGGGAACGUACCCAGAUCUAAGGAAUAGCCACUGGAAACGGUGAGUAAUACCUUAUACGCCCUUCGGGGGAAAGAUUUAUCGGAUUUGGAUCGGCCCGCGUUAGAUUAGAUAGUUGGUGGGGUAACGGCCUACCAAGUCUACGAUCUAUAGCUGGUUUUAGAGGAUGAUCAGCAACACUGGGACUGAGACACGGCCCAGACUCCUACGGGAGGCAGCAGUGGGGAAUCUUAGACAAUGGGCGCAAGCCUGAUCUAGCCAUGCCGCGUGAGUGAUGAAGGCCUUAGGGUCGUAAAGCUCUUUCGCCUGUGAUGAUAAUGACAGUAGCAGGUAAAGAAACCCCGGCUAACUCCGUGCCAGCAGCCGCGGUAAUACGGAGGGGGUUAGCGUUGUUCGGAAUUACUGGGCGUAAAGCGCGCGUAGGCGGAUUAGAAAGUAUGGGGUGAAAUCCCAGGGCUCAACCCUGGAACUGCCUCAUAAACUACUAGUCUAGAGUUCGAGAGAGGUGAGUAGAAUUCCGAGUGUAGAGGUGAAAUUCGUAGAUAUUCGGAGGAAUACCAGUGGCGAAGGCGGCUCACUGGCUCGAUACUGACGCUGAGGUGCGAAAGUGUGGGGAGCAAACAGGA